rnacentral:rRNA from 1 species
UACGGAGGGUGCGAGCGUUGUCCGGAAUCAUUGGGCGUAAAGGGCGCGUAGGUGGCCCGGUCAGUUCGUGGUGAAAGCGCGGGGCUCAACCCUGCGUCGCCAUGAAUACUGCCGCGGCUGGAGCACUGUAGAGGCAGGCGGAAUUCCGGGUGAGCGGUGAAAUGCGCAGAUAUCAGGAGGAACACCGGCGGUCGAAGGCGGCUGCUGGGCCUUACCUGACGCUGAGGAGCGAAAGCGUGGGGAGCGA